AACGAACGCUGGCGGCAGGCUUAACACAUGCAAGUCGAACGCUCCGCAAGGAGAGUGGCAGACGGGUGAGUAACACGUGGGAACGUACCCUUUACUACGGAACAACUCCGGGAAACUGGAGCUAAUACCGUAUGUGCCCUUUGGGGGAAAGAUUUAUCGGUAAAGGAUCGGCCCGCGUUGGAUUAGCUAGUUGGUGGGGUAAAGGCCUACCAAGGCGACGAUCCAUAGCUGGUCUGAGAGGAUGAUCAGCCACAUUGGGACUGAGACACGGCCCAAACUCCUACGGGAGGCAGCAGUGGGGAAUAUCGGACAAUGGGCGCAAGCUUGAUCCAGCCGUGCCGCGUGUGUGAUGAAGGCCUUAGGGUUGUAAAGCACUUUCACCGGAGAAGAUAAUGACGGUAUCCGGAGAAGAAGCCCCGGCUAACUUCGUGCCAGCAGCCGCGGUAA
rnacentral:rRNA from 1 species